CCUACGGGAGGCAGCAGUGAGGAAUAUUGGUCAAUGGACGAGAGUCUGAACCAGCCAAGUAGCGUGAAGGAUGACUGCCCUAUGGGUUGUAAACUUCUUUUAUAUGGGAAUAAAACGUUCCACGUGUGGGAUUUUGUAUGUACCAUAUGAAUAAGGAUCGGCUAACUCCGUGCCAGCAGCCGCGGUAAUACGGAGGAUCCGAGCGUUAUCCGGAUUUAUUGGGUUUAAAGGGAGCGUAGGUGGAUUGUUAAGUCAGUUGUGAAAGUUUGCGGCUCAACCGUAAAAUUGCAGUUGAAACUGGCAGUCUUGAGUACAGUAGAGGUAGGCGGAAUUCGUGGUGUAGCGGUGAAAUGCUUAGAUAUCACGAAGAACUCCGAUUGCGAAGGCAGUUCACUGGACUGCAACUGACACUGAGGCUCGAAAGUGUGGGUAUCAAACAGGAUUAGAUACCCCUGUAUUC
rnacentral:rRNA from 1 species